UAAAAGAAAAAAAAAAAAAGAAAAAUAAAAAGGGAAGAGUUAAAUUGAAUUUUGUCUUACACUUCAAAAUAAUGACAUAGAAAAUUGCAAUUGCUGGUCAAUUGCAAUGAAACUAAAUGAAAACAAUGAAACACAUUCUCAUAUAGGAUGAAUAUAGAUUCUCUCUUUCACAGUUCACUUCUAAAACCAUUACUUCUUUAUCUUUAACACUGCUUAUUUAAGACAAAAUUCUACUGUCAGAUGUAUAAGCACUUUUCUAAAAAAAUAAUCUAGACUUGUUAUGGUUUGAAAUAGUAAAUAGAUAUUAGUUUGGGAUUGCUCCACAUUAGUCAUCAUAUUCACACACUCAUGUUGUUCCUCAUAGAGGCAACCUGGCUAAAAGAGAUUUUUAUGGAGUAUAACAUGGAGUAUAACAUCAUUCAAUUUCAGCUUCCUGAAAAAUGUGUAAAAUUAAGCCAAUGCAAAAGGACAAAUUAUUGCAGUCCCCAUACACAGGAGCAUUUAGUGCUGGUUUGUCUAACAUGGACUAGUAAGGGUGAUACACACUCAUGCACAGAGAUCAUAAUUCUUUAAAAAUCAGUAUAAGCAUCUGUGAUAACAAAACAAGAGCAAUAAGAAAUAACUUUACCUACAAAGUUGCUGAGAGAUUUAAAGAAGGAAAAUAGUUUUCAUUUGGUUCUAAAAUAAUAUUCUGAAAAGUAUCUGAAAAAGCAUCUGAAAUAUACUCCAAUACAUGUAUGAAAAUAAUUUGGAAGGAGCAAAAUGUACUCAGACCAGGUUUGGUGUAGUGGGGAGCUGUCACACUGCUCUAGGGUUGCCCACAUGCAGCAGCCAGUGGCCUCACUCUGGGCAGUGGUGACAAUGUGCCCAUGCCAACAUCUCAAACAAUCAGUAGCACUCUCACUCAGCCAGAGAAAGACCCAUUUGUCAGGACAAUGCAGCUCCUCCGGCAGAGCUGGCCUUUCACAUUUGAAACAGGGCAAACACAAAGGCAAGGGUAGAUUUUGCCCUCACUGUUGCUUCUAGAUCCCCAGGCUGAUGCUGUGUAGAUGUACAACUGCUCCAAUCCUCACAUCCUCUCCUAAAUCUAAGCCCAAAGAUCAGGGUUUAAAACUUGUGGCUUUGUUAACAGCAAAAACUGAAGAACCAUGAUCAUGAAGAAACAGCUGGUGAACCUGGGCAAAAAUCAUCCUUUUGAUGAAUUUUUCUGUAAAAUAUCUGACUUUUUACACAUAUUUAUGUCACUUUAUAUGAAAUGGUUUUACAAAUACUGAUGUGGCAUAUGAGGACUGUGAUUCUUGAGUGGGAAGGAGGUAAUUUAUUUUUUAUGAUAAUUACUUUUAAGCACACAAAUAUUUUCCAAUACAUUAACUGUUAAUCUCACUGACAUGAAAUGCCAGGGUUGUGACAUCAAAAUUUAUUACAAUGAAUUUAGUGUUAUGUUACAAAUAACACAAAAUGAGACUGCAUAGAGAACACCAAGAACUAUUAGAAAAAGGAUUGACUUAUACAAAAAGAAAAGCACAUCACAAUUGGGUGCAAUUUAGAAUAAACAUGCUCUUGCAGACGGCAACUGAGAUAACUGUGCCUCAUCACCUGUCUUGCAUGUGCAGUGCAAGCCCUCCCCAGAACACCUGGAGGUAUUUCUGAUUUCACCAGUUUGAGCAAAGGAAACCCUGAACCUUGACCUAAGUCUUGGCAAAUACGUAAAGGAAUUACUGACUUUCCAACCAUAUGUCUAUUAUCUGUAAUUUUAAGCCUACACACAUGCUCUGCUAAUGAGCUUACACAGCUUUCAUCGUUCUUUCAAAGAAGUAGUAAAAAAAAUCAGCUGUCUGGAAGUAAUGGUGAUACAUUUCUAAGGAAGUCUGGGGGAGGCCAAUGAGAAGCUGCGAUAAUGCUGGGAGCAGAGGUAUUUUCCAGAAUUGCAUGUUAUAAUCUUUAUUAUAGAACAUAGUCUGUACAAAAAAUUAUGUCUUAGAUGCUUGAUUAAAAGGUACCUAAGAGUGUGAGGCAAUGAUAAAGGAAAUAGUCUGCAAGGGACGACUGAAUGUGUGAUGUGUAGACCAUCAUUACAAUUUUUUUUCCUGCAGACCAUCUGUGUUUUAUGAAGGUUUGUAUCCUCAAGACUGUCAUAAUUCACACCAGUGUCAUGACACAAGCUACAACCAACAAAACUGGAAAGGUUAUGUCAGCAUUGAUGUCACCUGAACGUGCCAUGCAGCUUAUUUUGAAGGAAAUCACAUUGCUUUAACAGAGGAAGAAAAAAAAUCAUUCUAUUGACUUCAGCAUCAUCAGCAAUGUCUUCCAGAAAUACAUUUUAAGAACUUCCUAUGUCAGACAACCAUUUCUCACUUAUAUGGUUUUAACUCAUGCUGCUUUGUUUCUGAGUACUUGCAGCAAGUGAAUGUGCUUUCAUUUAGCAACUCAAGUUUUCCAUUUAAACAACUAAAGAUUGCAUUUGAGUCAUAGCUGAUAAAAGCAUGCUAAUAAAAUUCUUUUAAAAUUAAUGUAAUUGGAUUUUAUCUCAAAAUAGUAAUACCUCUGCAAAAUACCCCACAAAUCCCAGAAAAAUACAAGCCAAACCCUCUCCCCCAACCAAUACCCUGAUACUGAACUCUGUAUUUCUUCCCUAGAACAUGGAUGUAUUAUAUUAUUUCACUUUUCCUUUAAAAGUGUUAAUGGGCAUUAACCACAUCUAUUACUAGCCAUAUAUGCUGAAAUACUUCAGGGUUCCUGACACAUGAUGUCACACUUGCUACAAUAAGUAUUGAUAAUAAAACCUGCUUGAAUGCCAAUAAAUAUGUAUUGUGGAGAAA